ACGGGUGUAGCUCAAUUGGUAGAGUGGUAGUCUCCAAAACUAUAGGCUGGGAGUUCGAGUCUCUCCACCCGUG
rnacentral:tRNA from 1 species